UACGUAGGGUGCGAGCGUUGUCCGGAAUUAUUGGGCGUAAAGAGCUCGUAGGCGGUCUGUCGCGUCUGCUGUGAAAACCCGAGGCUCAACCUCGGGCCUGCAGUGGGUACGGGCAGACUAGAGUGCGGUAGGGGGAGAUUGGAAUUCCUGGUGUAGCGGUGGAAUGCGCAGAUAUCAGGAGGAACACCAAUGGCGAAAGCGGCUCUCUGGGACGGUACUGACGCUGAGGUGCGAAAAGCGUGGGGAGCAAACAGG
rnacentral:rRNA from 1 species